rnacentral:rRNA from 1 species
AGAGUUUGAUCCUGGCUCAGGAUGAACGUUGGCGGCGUGCCUAAGGUAUGCAAGUCGAACGCCCGCUUCGGCGGGAGUGGCGAACGGCUGAGUAACGCGUAGGAACUUUCCCUUAAGUCAAGGAUAGCUACUCGAAAGGGUAAUUAAUCCUGGAUAGUCCCCUCCUUUGUUUACAAAGGUGGGGUAAAGGCUUCGGCCGCUUGAGGAUAGGCCUGCGUCCUAUCAGGUUGUUGGUGAGGUAAAGGCUCACCAAGCCUAUGACGGGUAGCUGGUCUGAGAGGAUGACCAGCCAGAAUGGGACUGCGACACGGCCCAUACUCCUACGGGAGGCAGCAAUUAGGAAUCUUGCGCAAUGGACGAAAGUCUGACGCAGCGACGCCGCGUGGAGGAUGAAGGCCUUCGGGUUGUAAACUCCUUUUAUGUGGGAACAAGUUCUGAGGGUACCACAUGAAUAAGGCCCCCCUAACUACGUGCCAGAAGGGUCGGUGAUGCGUAGGGGCCAAACGUUGUCCGGAAUUACUGGGCGUAAAGAGAUGCGUAGGCGUCUUUGUAAGUCUAAUGUGAAAGCCCGAGGCUUAACUUCGGAAUUGCAUUAGAAACUAUAAGGAUUGAGUCAGUCAGAGGAAAGCGGAAUUCCUGGUGUAGCGGUGAAAUGCGUUGAUAUCAGGAGGAACACCGAUGGCGAAGGCAGCUUUCUGGGACUAGACUGACGCUAAGGCUCGAAAGCGUGGGGAGCAAAACGGAUUAGAUACCCGUGUAGUCCACGCUGUAAACGAUCCCUACUAGAUGUAUGGUCUGAAUCUGAAUGGGACUUAGGUUUAUUCGAAUUCAGGUUGUGUGUCGCAGCUAACGCGUUAAGUAGGGCGCCUGGGGAGUACGGCCGCAAGGCUAAAACUCAAAGGAAUUGACGGGGACCCGCACAAGCAGUGGAGCGUUUGGUUUAAUUCGAUGCUAAGCGAAGAACCUUACCAGGGCUUGAACUGUAGCUGUACCCCUGACGAAAAUCGGGGGGUCUUCGAGAUCGCUACAGAGGUGCUGCAUGGCUCUCGUCAGCUCGUGUCGUGAGAUGUUGGGUUAAGUCCCGCAACGAGCGCAACCCCUACCCAGUGUUAUAAUUUCUCUGGGGACUGCCUUGCCAAAACGAGGAGGAAGGUGGGGACGACGUCUAGUCAUCAUGUCCCUUAUGUCCUGGGCUACACAAGCGCUACAAUGGCCACUACAGAGGGUUGCCAAGCCGCAAGGUGGAGCUAAUCCCAAAAAAGUGGUCUCAGUUCGGAUUGUCGGCUGAAAUUCGCCGGCAUGAAGUUGGAAUUGCUAGUAAUCGCAGAUCAGCAUGCUGCGGUGAAUACGUUCUCGGGCCUUGCACACACCG